UAAAAGAAGAGAAAAAACAUCAAUUAGAAAAUAGAAAAGAGCCCUCCCUGGUGAAUUCCUGCUUCUCCUCCAUGUCAUCAUAGGUGUUGAUGGUGCUUGCCUCUGGAUAAUGCUGACUUCCUCUAGAGUGGUCACCAAGGUGAAAUGUUGGUGCCAAAUGAACUUUUCUGGUUCUUCUGAAUAUGCCACUGUUGCUGGAGAAAUGUCACUGCUAGAGAAUAGAAGACUAUUAUUCCAAAGGGUAUUUGAGACUGACUGA
rnacentral:lncRNA from 1 species